GGAGAAACUCCGGAGAGAAAGGCGGCGGGUGGCUCUGCAGGGUUGGUUAAUGGGGCUGAGCAGUGCCGCGCAGGGCGGGUGCAGCCUGGAGGGCCCUUGCUGGGCUCGAGGGAGGUGUUGCUUGGUUCUCUUGGGCGGGGCGGGGGGGGACCCUGGGAAAUGCUCACGGGUUAGGACAGGGGCCUGAGUGUCCUCUCUCUGUGGAGCGUUUGCCGUCAGCAAGUGAAGGGCUCCUGGUCGUGCCGAACACCGUGUCCUGUCUCCACUUCCCGUACCCCAGACACGAUCCUUCCAGAUUUGUUAGUUCGUGCAAAUCUUCGGGAACCUCUGGAGAAGCAUCAAUUACCGUUUGCCGGCAAGCCUGGCUGUGUUCUGUUUCCCCAAGUUAAAAUCACAACCAUCCUGUAAGAGGCUUCGUGGGCUCUUUGGACCUGAUGUUGGCAGUGAUGAAAAGGCACCAGGGAAGCUUAGUGAAGACAUUUUAGUUCUUAAAAAUUAAAUACGACAAUAAUAGCUAACAUUCGUCAAGUGCAUGCAAUGAACCAAGCAUUUUGUGUGUGUUACUUAAUUUAAUUAGAAAUGACCCUUCGAGAUAGGGAUUUAAACGACAAAACUCCUGUCUUACAGAUGAAGACACUGAGGUUCAGAGAGGCUCAGAGUCCUGUGCGGUGCCACAAAUCCAGAGCGUCUCAGAGCCGGGGUUCAAGGCUCAGGUGAGCCCAUCUGCAAGAAAGAUACUGGACACAUGUGCCAAAGCCCCCGCUGGACAUGAGGUCAGCUCUCUUAUCCAUCUUCUUCCAAACUGGCUUGGCGAUUGCUGGACUUUCACACGUGGACCCAGGGGCAGGUGUGGUGGACCACGGGGCGAAGACAGCAUGCUAGGGAUGGCGAAACAAGAUCGAUGGAGUCUGGGUCCCCGGACCGCCUCAGGAACCACAGACACCAGCCCUGGACCACCUCCAGAUACGAGAGGAAGAAAUACGCGUGGGGCUGAAGGCGCUAUCAAUUUGCAUGGAUAUUAACUAAGUGCAGCCAAAUAUUUAUCUUAAGUAAUGUAUUUUUCUCAUUUAUUAACUUAGCUGAAGAUUCUGGUAAAACACGGAGUCAACUUGAUGGAGCAGGCGUCCUUGCCUUGUUCUUGGCUUUAGAGAAAAUUACUAUUUUACCAUUCAGUACAAUGCUUUUUUGGUAGAUAUUUCUUACCGAUUUAAGAAAAUUUCCAUCCAUUCUGUUUGCUGAGAAUUUCCUUUAAAAAGUUAUGAGUGGAUUUUACAUUUUAUUGAAUGCCUUCCCUGCAUCUAAGAAGAUUAUUAUAUAUAUGGACUUCCUCCUUUAAUCUUUUAAUGUGGUGAAUGAUUUUAGCAGAUAUUUUAGUGUUAAGCUGCCUUUAUUCCUGAGUUAAAGACUCUGCGUAUAAUAAAGGAUUUAUAUAUAGGUUGCUGGAUUUGCUU
rnacentral:lncRNA from 1 species